GACGAACGCUGGCGGCGUGCUUAACACAUGCAAGUCGAACGGAAAGGCCCUGCUUUUGUGGGGUGCUCGAGUGGCGAACGGGUGAGUAACACGUGAGUAACCUGCCCUUGACUUUGGGAUAACUUCAGGAAACUGGGGCUAAUACCGGAUAGGAGCUCCUGCUGCAUGGUGGGGGUUGGAAAGUUUCGGCGGUUGGGGAUGGACUCGCGGCUUAUCAGCUUGUUGGUGGGGUAGUGGCUGACCAAGGCUUUGACGGGUAGCCGGCAUGAGAGGGUGAACGGGCACAAUGGGACUGAGAUACGGACCAGACGGCUACGGGAGGCAGCAGUGGGGAAUAUUGCACAAUGGGCGGAAGUCUGAUGUAACAACGCCGCGUGCGGGAUGACGGCCUUCGGGUUGUAAACCGCUUUCGCAUGUGACGAAGCGUGAGUGACGGUAAUGGGUAAAGAAGCACCGGCUAACUACGUG
rnacentral:rRNA from 1 species